rnacentral:rRNA from 1 species
ACUCCUACGGGAGGCAGCAGUAGGGAAUCUUCCACAAUGGACGAAAGUACUGAUGGAGCAACGCCGCGUGAGUGAAGAAGGGUUUCGGCUCGUAAAACUACUGUUGUUAAAGAAGAACAUAUCUGAGAGUAACUGUUCAGGUAUUGACGGUAUUUAACCAGAAAGCCACGGCUAACUACGUGCCAGCAGCCGCGGUAAUACGUAGGUGGCAAGCGUUGUCCGGAUUUAUUGGGCGUAAAGCGAGCGCAGGCGGUUUUUAAGUCUGAUGUGAAAGCCUUCGGCUCAACCGAAGAAGUGCAUCGGAAACUGGGAAACUUGAGUGCAGAAGAGGACAGUGGAACUCCAUGUGUAGCGGUGAAAUGCGUAGAUAUAUGGAAAAACACCAGUGGCGAAGGCGGCUGUCUGGUCUGUAACUGACGCUGAGGCUCGAAAGUAUGGGUAGCAAACAGGAUUAGAUACCCUGGUAGGAUAGCC